rfam:Myotis brandtii contig175729, whole genome shotgun sequence.
GGCAGUUCUCGAGUGACACACCCUGGAAUCGGGCUCCCUCCUCUCUGGUUCUGAGUGCAUCACCCAGGAACCGCA